rnacentral:rRNA from 1 species
GACGAACGCUGGCGGCGUGCUUAACACAUGCAAGUCGAACGGAAAGGCCCUGCUUUUGUGGGGUGCUCGAGUGGCGAACGGGUGAGUAACACGUGAGUAACCUGCCCUUGACUUUGGGAUAACUUCAGGAAACUGGGGCUAAUACCGGAUAGGAGCUCCUGCUGCAUGGUGGGGGUUGGAAAGUUUCGGCGGUUGGGGAUGGACUCGCGGCUUAUCAGCUUGUUGGUGGGGUAGUGGCUUACCAAGGCUUUGACGGGUAGCCGGCCUGAGAGGGUGACCGGGCCCCAUGGGACUGAGAUACGGCCCAGACUCCUACGGGAGGCAGCAGUGGGGAAUAUUGCACAAUGGGCGGAAGCCUGAUGCAGCAACGCCGCGUGCGGGAUGACGGCCUUCGGGUUGUAAACCGCUUUCGCCUGUGACGAAGCGUGAGUGACGGUAAUGGGUAAAGAAGCACCGGCUAACUACGUG